AGUGACAAGAAAUAACAAUACAGGGCCUAACGGUCUUGUAAUUGGAAUGAGUGAAGUAUAAACCCCUUUACGAGUAUCAAUUGGAGGGCAAGUCUGGUGCCAGCAGCCGCGGUAAUUCCAGCUCCAAUAGCGUAUAUUAAAGUUGUUGCAGUUAAAAAGCUCGUAGUUGGAUUUCUGUUGUAUAAUUUUAUAAUAUUACAAAGGUAAUUAUUAUAUUAUCAACAUCCUUCCUAUUAUAUUCUAAAUAUAUAGGAAAUUUUACUUUGAGAAAAUUAGAGUGCUUAAAGCAGG
rnacentral:rRNA from 1 species